rnacentral:rRNA from 1 species
AGUACGUGAAACUGCUUAGAGGUUAAGCCCGAUGAACCUGAAUAUCCAUUAUGGAAAAUUCAACAUUAAUAUUAUAAUAUUUAUUUAUAAAUAUUAUAAAAAUAGUGUGCAAUUUUUCCAUAUAAGGACAUUGUAAUCUGUUAAUGUAAUAAAUAUUUAUCAUAAGAUUCAAUAAAUAAAAGUUUAUUCAAAUUAGUUAUUUUCCGAUUUCUAACAUAGAAUAAAUUUAAUUGAAUUUGAUAAAUCAUUGACAGAUUUAUUUAUAUAUAGUGCUUAAAUUCUUAAUUGAAUUUUACAAUAAUUUAUAAAUGUAUUUUCAUUUAUUUAUUUAUUGUAUGCGCUUAUAUGAUUAACAAUGCUAUAGAUUCAGGAUACCUUCGGGACCCGUCUUGAAACACGGACCAAGGAGUCUAACAUAUGUGCAAGUCAUUGGGUAUUUUUAAUAAAACCCAAAGGCAUAAUUAACUUAACUGUUUUUAAUAUGGGAUUAGUUUAUAUUUUAUUAUGAAAUAUUAAUUCAAUCCCGGGGCGUUCUAUAUAGUUAUGUAUAAUAAUAUUUAUAUUAUUUAUGCCUCUAACUAGAGC